CGUGAGAGACUGCCGGGGUCAACUCGGAGGAAGGUGGGGAUGACGUCAAGUCAUCAUGCCCCUUAUGUCCAGGGCUUCACACAUGCUACAAUGGCCGGUACAAAGGGCUGCGAUGCCGUGAGGUGGAGCGAAUCCUUUCAAAGCCGGUCUCAGUUCGGAUCGGGGUCUGCAACUCGACCCCGUGAAGUGGGAGUCGCUAGUAAUCGCAGAUCAGCAACGCUGCGGUGAAUACGUUCCCGGGCCUUGUACACACCGCCCGUCACGUCAUGAAUGUCGGUAACACCCG
rnacentral:rRNA from 1 species